rnacentral:rRNA from 1 species
GACGAACGCUAGCGGCGUGCCUAAUGUAUGCAAGUCGAGCGGGGUGCCUCCUUCGGGAGGUUACCUAGCGGCGAACGGUUGAGUAACACGUAGGCAACCUGCCCCAGAGUGGGGGAUAACUCGCGGAAACGCGGGCUAAUACCGCAUGUGGUCCGGGAUCGAGUGGUCCCGGUACUAAAGGAGCAAUUCGCUCUGGGAGGGGCCUGCGGCCUAUCAGCUUGUUGGGGAGGUAACGGCUCACCAAGGCGACGACGGGUAGCUGGUCUGAGAGGAUGGUCAGCCAGACAGGGACUGAGACACGGCCCUGACUCCUUCGGGGGGCGAGCAAUGAGGGAUAUUGCACAAUGGGCGGCAAGCCUGAUGCAGCGACGCCGCGUGGGUGAUGAA